UUAGAUCAGAAGCGAGAAUGUUGACAUGAGUAGCGACAAACAGGGUGAGAGACCCUGUCGCCGUAAGUCCAAGGGUUCCUGCUUAAAGCUAAUCUGAGCAGGGUAAGCCGGCCCCUAAGGCGAGGCCGAAAGGCGUAGUCGAUGGGAACCACGUUAAUAUUCGUGGGCCAGAAGGAUGUGACGGAUCUCAAAGAUUGUCUGCCCUUAUCGGAUUGGGUGGGCCGUUCAGAGGUUCCGGGAAAUAGCCCUUCAUCAGACCGUACCCUAAACCGACACAGGUGGACUGGUAGAGUAUACCAAGGCGCUUGAGAGAACCACAUCAAAGGAACUCGGCAAAAUGCCUCCGUAAGUUCGCGAGAAGGAGGCCCCAUCUGUAGGCAACUAUGGGUGGGGGGCACAAACUAGGGGGUGGCGACUGUUUACUUAAAACACAGGGCUGUGCGAAGCCGUAAGGCGACGUAUACAGUCUGACGCCUGCCCGGUGCUGGGAGGUUAAAAGGAGGGGUGCAAGCUCUGAAUUGAAGCCCCAGUAAACGGCGGCCGUAACGAUAACGGUCCUAAGGUAGCGAAAUUCCUUGUCGGGUAAGUUCCGACCUGCACGAAUGGCGUAACGAUCUCCCCGCUGUCUCUGAUGUGGACUCAGCGAAAUUGAGCUGUGUGUCAAGAUGCACACUUCCCGCGGUUAGACGGAAAGACCCCAUGCACCUUUACUCCAGCUUCGCACUGGUAUCAGGAUUGUGAUGUGCAGGAUAGGUGGUAGGCAUCGAAGCGGGGACGCCAGUUCCCGUGGAGCCUCCCUUGAGAUACCACCCUUCGCACUCUUGAUAUCUAACCGCGGUCCGUUAUCCGGAUCCGGGACCCUGCGUGGUGGGGAGUUUGACUGGGGCGGUCGCCUCCCAAACAGUAACGGAGGCGCGCGAAGGUAGGCUCAGACCGGUCGGAAAUCGGUCGUUGAGUGCAAUGGCAGAAGCCUGCCUGACUGCAAGACUGACAAGUCGAGCAGAGACGAAAGUCGGUCAUAGUGAUCCGGUGGUCCCAAGUGGGAGGGCCAUCGCUCAACGGAUAAAAGGUACGCUGGGGAUAACAGGCUGAUGAUGCCCAAGAGUCCAUAUCGACGGCAUCGUUUGGCACCUCGAUGUCGGCUCAUCUCAUCCUGGGGCUGGAGCAGGUCCCAAGGGUAUGGCUGUUCGCCAUUUAAAGAGGUACGUGAGCUGGGUUUAGAACGUCGUGAGACAGUUCGGUCCCUAUCUGCCGUGGGUGUAGGAGACUUGAGAAGAGUUGCCCCUAGUACG
rnacentral:rRNA from 1 species